UUUUAUAUUCCCUGUCUUGGGUUUUGACAUGCCCCGAUUUAUGAAAACCCUUUUCAGGACUGUUAUUUUUCAGGCUAGGCAUACAGAUGCUGCAUAAGCUUUUGGAAGGGUCCUGCUCACAAGGCACAAACUUCACCAGUGCCAGGAAUGGCCUCUAAGGAAAGUAGGACAGGAUAGGCAGAAGUCCCUUAUGCAUGGCUGGCUCCCUCUAACCAAGCUGCUGGGCGCUAAAGGCCUCUCUGGCUUUGGGAAAUGCUGCCAGACAGGAGAUAAAAGGGCAAAGGGCAGGAGGGCCCAGAGAACAGCAGCCAUCCUGCCCUCCCCUCCCAAAUGGCUCUUACCAUUGGCUCAGAGGAAGUCCCCUUAGCUCUGGGGUGGCUCCAGUUUGCCCUUCAGAGAAGUGGGCACCACCGCUUCCAACAGCCUACCUGUCUUGCGGAGGUAUUUAUUUUACCAAGCCUUGUUUUAGCACCAACCCGAGGGUGAGGGGCCUCAAGUGACAUACAUACCUGAAUGGAAAGACCCAAUGGAAAAGCAUACCCAGCUGGAGGUUGAGAGGAGAGGGCAAGGUGAACCAAGACAUAACAGCCAGAGGGAAGAAAGAAACAUCUGGAAAACAUCAGUGCUGUGGAGCCUACGGAAACUGAGCAUGCCUGGAAAAGGGCCAGAUGUCCACAGAUGUCCACCAGGGGCUCUGAGGAACCGCGCCAUGGGCCGUUUGCUACACAAAUGAGACAACUUCCGUCAAUCUUUAGCUGGGGUGAAGCAGCACCUUUUCAAAGAUGAGAACGGCCUGCAGCCCAGCCCAGGUCAGCCAAGGAGAACAAAUGCUGAAUGAACGGUUUGAACACCACCACACACAGCAGCCUGGUAAUCAACUUAGCAUCCUGUUAACAGCCCCGCUGAUCUUUGAACAUUCACUAGGAGCCUCGAGAAACUGCCAGAGAAACUUUUUUUUAUUCAAAUACAGUCCAGCAGUCACCUUGGGGAAGAAUGUUCGGAUCUAAUUCAAUAGCACUGGAUGCCCAGCUUAUUUAAAAAAGACUGUCUGUACACGAUAAGCACUCCACAGCCACUGGCAUAACCCCAGAGCCAUCUGCCCUGGGCAAAUGACUCUGCUUCAGCCUCCAACUUGCAAAAUCAUGGCAAUGGAUGGCAGGAUGUCUAGGGUUCUCUUUUUUCCUCAUGCUACUUCCAAAUGAAUGCUUGGUAGUGUUGAUUUUGCUAGGACUUUAUUCAAAGAGGGUUGGGCUAGCUACAGUGACUAAUGUUCCAGUACACCAUAGUGAUCUGCUACUUCCUAUCAGACCUAUUCACUUUCUGUCUUUAGAUCAGGUUCAUGGACUGUAGUCUGGUUUGAAAUUUGUAUAUGACCAAGUAUGGCCUUGAACUUCUGAUUCUCCUGCUGUCGUGCCCAAUGUGCUGGGAUUAUAGGCUUGAACCACCACGUCUAGUCUAUGUGGGUCUGGAGAUUGAACCCAGUGCUUUAUGAAUUCUAGGCAAGCACUUUACCAGCUGAGCUAUAUCCUCAGUCCCCUAUUUACUCCUGUAUGUUUAAGAGACAGUCCAGCAUCCUUACUUGGGCAAUAAGCUCAGAAUUCACAUUAACCAUCCAUUAUAAAUCGCCUAAUAUAAAAUAGCAACCUAGCUGGCAAUAUUUCUGAACUAGAAAAAGGCAUACUGAGAUAUAAUGUUGCAUUCCACACCUGUGCAAUAAUGAAGCUGUCCCACCUAUAUCAAUGUGGGAGAACUAUAAAGGUUCUAAUGAUUUAUCCAUCCAUUCAGACAUUACCCAAUAUUUACACAGGUCACAUAUAAAUGGGUCUUCCUUAGCUGGAGCUUCUGCCUAUAAUUUUGAUAAAUCUGGACCCCAGAUUAAAUGAAUUCCUCACAAGGCACUUGGUUCUGUGAAAAAUCUAUUAACGCCAACCCAACUGAACUGAGUCUUAGUAAGUCAACUGAAUCUCAUGCAACAGGACAAGGCUCCUUUGAAUCACACUCCAGUGAAGCUGUUUUUAAAAGAAAAGAGGAGGUGGCUGCAGCCUGGGCUUCAGGCCCUUUGGCUUACAGAGACCCCGAUGCCUCUGAAGAACCAAGUAGGUUGGAGACUUCUCAGCUCAGAAGGCCAUCGAGCAGAAGUGGCUACUCAGGAGUGUCACGCUAUCACAUUCCCCAGCAGACUCAAGGAGAGUCUGGUCAUCUACAGUGGAAACCAGAUACCUCUGCCAGCUACUUCUGUGCUGGCAAAUGCUGGCUCAUAAGCAGCUCUGGUCAUGCUAUCAGUGUUUUUAUUUUUAUUUCUGCCCUGCUGAAUCUGAACAUAUAAAAUUAUAGGUCACAAAACGUCCGUUUA